rnacentral:rRNA from 1 species
UACAGAGGUCCCGAGCGUUGUUCGGAUUCACUGGGCGUAAAGGGUGCGUAGGUGGCGAGGUAAGUCGGAUGUGAAAGCUCGGAGCUCAACUCCGAAAUGGCAUUGGAAACUACCUUGCUCGAGGGUUGGAGGGGGGACUGGAAUACUUGGUGUAGCAGUGAAAUGCGUAGAUAUUGGGAGGAACACCAGUGGCGAAGGCGGCGACCUGGGCCAAUACUGACGCUGAGGUGCGAAAGCGUGGGGAGCAAACAGG